UCGGUGGUGAUCCUUCAGAUGACAUUUUUCUGUUACCACAAACAAUCUGUUUUAGCAAUUUGCUUCAUUUAUUUUCAAAAUAAAAGAUAUACAAACGUAUAAUUCUUUGAAAAAGUGCAAAUUCACUAUCACACAUUGUUUGCUAGUCCACAAAUUCAUAAAAUGUCAUCUAAAAUAGAUCUUCCCAAUAGACCAACUACACAUGAAGUAACCACAACUUCCCAACAAAUAGCAUCAUAGCAGGAUACGAAUAGCAUACUAGUAUAAUCUUUAGCAAUAACUAAGAUCCUAUAUAGCCUAUCACGUACUAACCAACACACAAGACUCUGAUUCCUGGUUGUAUUAAUCUGGAUAGUUCUAACAGUCCUGGACCUUUGUGUAACAGUCUAUAUUAGGUCCUAGCAUGCACGAAGUUCAGAUCUAAAUAAUGACUCUGAGCUAUAACACUAUAUCCUAACCAAAUAUUAACAAAACUUCAUUCCGUACUCUUAACUCUUAACUCAACAUGAGUUGCUGACUCAAUCACCAAGUCCAAAUAUCACUGAUAAGGGUAGACUCUCUGUCUAACCUAACCUAACGCAGUUGACUUAAACCUGUAGCUCUGAUACCAACUGUGACAGCCCAAAUCCGGGGUAUAGAUUUGGUGUCACUAAAAGAAAUAAACAAAAUAAUAAAAGUGGUUGGUGAAUGCUGAAAAGAGAAACUUAAUAAUAAUUUACAAAUUCCACCCCUGACCAAAGAUCUUGCCAGGUUUAAGUCAGAAAAAGGUUUAACAUCUAUUACAACCAAGACAACGAUAUUGGUUCAUCUCUAUAAGAGAUUCCACUACAGCCUUACGGGUACAUCUACAAUACAGACUCAAAAGAUAACCAAACAAACUCGGGUCCAAAGCUCCUCGCAUUCUCUCUAGAAGUUCCCAACUCAAAAGACGGUGCCUAGGAACUCUUACACGCAGCUGCUAUUUUUCCUUGACAUCUGAAAGGGUUAGUUUUGAAAUAACAAGUGUGAGCCAUAGAAAUGCUCAGCAAGUAUAACAUUACACAAAAAUGGAUAGUCAACGAAAAAGGAAAAAAAAAAAAAACAGUUCUAUAGCAAUGGAGUGAAACAGAACUUUUAGAGCUGUAGAAGUAAUUACAAAAUCAAUCACAUUUGGAAUACGAAAAUCUUUUCCAAAAAUCAUUCAUUGUUUAAUUGGGUUUUAAGUAAGACACCAUGCUAUAGCCGAUGAUCAGUCGCACUAUAGUCCAUAGAACCUAGUCUUUUUCAAGCUAGGCCACACAAAUAUUACGAAAUCCGGUAUUCCGGGCUGAAGAAGCCACCUUUCACGCUGGGCCGGUGUCUAGGCCUCUUACGCAAACCUACCCAAUUUAUAGGUUUCAAAACUACAGCUUUAACAAGAUAUAAAUUUUUAAAGAAUUCAAGUAGCUUUCAAAUUCAUCAUGAAUUAUGAUCUGUUCAACAAGUUAGAAGCUGAUGCUCAAUGUGAAUGACAAUAUCAAGCAUUACUAAAGAAGAUUAAAUCAUAAUAUAAAAUAAAGUUUAAGGUACUUGUCUCUGAUUUGCAAGAGAAAGGUAGAAGUACUUGCCUUGACAAAAUGUAACUAGUGAUACGAAGGCUCUAGGUUGCUAAGACUUCUGAUUGGAGCCUACACAGCAGAAGACUAGGUCUUAACUUCCUGAACUUAUCAUCAUAUUCUCACAUAUUCUCACCGACAUCUAAUUGCUACCCUUCGUUUAUACAACAUAGAAAUCAAAUAAACACAUAGCACAUAAUGGCACAAAAACCCUUUUUAUAGCCAAUGAAAAACAUAUAAUUUCUAAUAAAAAUUCGGCAGCAUCUCCUCUAUUUAUAGGCUUAUCCACAUGUUUUCAAUACCAACAACCAGCCAAUACGCUAACACAUGAAUUAGUAAUAUAGAAAGCUGCCUUGACUUGCAGUAAUAUACAAAAUACGAUUAAUAAGAUACACAAGGUCAAGCGAGCCAAUCAAUUAAACAAUCAAUUAUAUGCAACUAACCAAGUAUAACCUCAUACUAUGUACUAACAAAGGAAGAAAAUUAAAACAAAUAGUUCAAACAGCCCUCACUCUAAGAUUUUUAAUAAAUCGAAAAUUUAUUGUUUUAAUACAAAAUUUUUAUGAGACACUCCUAAGACUUGUUCCAACCUACAGUAAAAUUUUCAGAAAGAAACUCCAAGUGUAAAGCAGUAAAACAGGCCUUCCACUCAGGCACCAGCAGUUUGUCCUAUAAAACCAGUCCGACGCUAGGAUUUUUAAUAAAUAGAAAAAUCGGUCUGUUUGUAUAAAAUUUUAAUGACACAUUACAGACCCCAACAUCUAACUCCAGUAAAAAAUUUAAGAAGCAAAGCAACAGUAUAAGGUAGCAUAACAGGGCCCGGAACAUGAGACAUAAACCUGCCCAGAAUUUUCUGCACACCUCGCACUAAAACAUACAUAUCUUUUAGCUCGUUUAUUAAAUCAAUCUAAUUCUUUCGCGAGUAGAAACUAGGUUCCAAGAAGUAUUUUUCCACAAAAUUUCAUUACCCAAUAUCACUCCUAGGGCAGUUAAUUAUUGACGCAAAACAGAGGUAUGACAGAAAAUAUUUUGACAACAAACAAUCGAUCAUUAGACAUUACUAUUACCAAUCCAUACUAACAUCAAAUCCCAACAAUUCAUUCAACCCGUCUUCAAUUGACACCUAUACACAUACAUGUAAACAUAUAACUUGAAUUAUGCGAAUACUACUCAAUCAAUUCUUAAUCACAACUCACAUGUAUAUACUCAUUUAAACUAAAAUGAAAUUAGCUACUUAAUAACUCAAGAAUCAAUUCAAUCCAUAUAAGCACAACACCGCACAUAUAUAUACAUAUUUAUAUAGACUGAAUUGAAUAAGAGAAAUUAAGCUUAUACCCCCUGACUUACAACUAGUGGAGGCCUAGGAUGUCGCCGGAAAAAGAAGAAACAGGCGGCGAUGUGGAUUGGCCGGGAAAAUCAAUGACCAGUACUUGGGAGUAUAUCUCGAUGGGGAAGGAAAAAGAGUAGAGACGUGACUUGGAUGGUUGAAGAAAAGAAGAAGAAAAAAAAAAUGAAAGAGGGAAAAA
rnacentral:lncRNA from 1 species